ACGAACGCUGGCGGCGUGCUUAACCCAUGCAAGUCGAACGGAAAGGCCCUGCUUUUGUGGGGUGCUCGAGUGGCGAACGGGUGAGUAACACGUGAGUAACCUGCCCUUGACUUUGGGAUAACUUCAGGAAACUGGGGCUAAUACCGGAUAGGAGCUCCUGCUGCAUGGUGGGGGUUGGAAAGUUUCGGCGGUUGGGGAUGGACUCGCGGCUUAUCAGCUUGGUGGUGGGGUAGUGGCUUACCAAGGCUUUGACGGGUAGCCGGCCUGAGAGGGUGACCGGCCACCUUGGGACUGAGAGAGGGACCAGACGCGUAUGGGAGGCAGCAGUCGGGAAUAUUGCACAAUGGGCGGAAGCCUGAGGCAGCAACGCCGCGUUCGGGAUGACGGCCUUCGGGUUGUAAACCGCUUUCGCCUGUGACGAAGCGUGAGUGACGGUAAUGGGUAAAGAAGCACCGGCUAACUACGUG
rnacentral:rRNA from 1 species